rnacentral:lncRNA from 1 species
CAGAAAAGAUUUCAUCAUAAAUGAACAUAUAUAGAGGACAACUGGAAUGAGCAAGUGUUCAUCCUCAUCUCGUCCUUGAAGGAAGGACAAAGACUAGAUCUUUCUGCUCUAGCAGCAAGGGACAGAGCCUCGCUGCUAAGAUCACAGCUCAAAGAAAUGAACAACUCUUGGACAGGUAUCGACAAUUAUUUAAGAGAACAAGCUCCUGAGAGGAGCUUCUGAUUCAGUUGUUAGAACAUUGCCCUCUAUAA